rnacentral:lncRNA from 1 species
UUUUUUUUUUAAUUUCCAAUUAUUGUGAUAGUUUCUUUACUGCCUUAUUUAGCUGGGAUUGAUGAAUUAUGUUGGCAUGUUUUGGAUAUAAGCAAAUGUUUUAUGAUUUGCUGAUGUUACUGCCUUUUGUUAAAUUUUAUAUUUUGAUAAGAUUUAUAAUAAAUGUUGAAUAGAUUGUAUAUUUUUAUAACAAUUUACAAAUGAUUAUAGCUAAUAUUUCACAUUAUGUUAUAUUAUCAGGAUAACUUGCUUUAUAUAUGAAAAAACAUUUCAUUUGCAACGUUUAUGUACAAAUAGGAAUCAAGCCUUUUUGAUUCACAUUUUAAAACCAAGAGCCGAGUUAGAUAAUUCAAGUGCCUAUCACUAUACCAGAAAAGAGACAAGAGACAAUUUCACUAUUUGUCUUGAAAGGUUGACAUGCAGAAUUUUGAUGAAGUAAUUUUUUUGAAACAGACAUUUGCAUGUCAGAUAAGAACCUCUAAACAAAAUAUAAUAAAAAUUAGAAUUAAACAUACAUUUUUAUACUCAUAGAUUGGAUGACCCUUUACCAAAUCUGGAUGUCCAUAUGUCCACUUAUCAGUCACCUUUCAGUUUUUUUCCAAUUUCCUUAUUUUAGGAUCAGCUGUACAAAGUCAAGGGGACUAACUGACUAACUAUAGUUUGUGUCUGCUACUGCAUGCAUGUUUAAAGUCAUCAUUUCUAAAUCAAAAGAUUAUGGCCAUUUGAUUUCUAGAAAUUCAAGUAAUUCAUAAGUUUUGUUGUAGUUGACCUGCUCUUGACAACCUUUAUAUUUGUAGAAAAUUUCUUCAAAAUUAAAAUUCUUAGUUCUGUUGUAAGCUGUCAUCAUGGUUACCAUAAUUAAGAAAUAAUUGAUGCAAGCUAUACUUUAUUGUAGUUUUAACAUGGGUAGGCAUUUUAUACGUGAUUAUUUUGCCUGAGUGAUAAUGAGGGCUAAAAUAACACGAAUAUGAUGCCUACCUAUGUUAAAACUACAAUUAAGUAUAGCUUGCAUCAAUUAUUUCGAUUCUGAAUAGGACAAUUAAGGUAAUUUCUAUGUCCGAUAAGUAUAAGUGUAAACGGGUUUGUGUAGGCUCGUCCAUAAACCUUAGUCCUCCCUUUUUUGUUUGUAAAGAAGCAACGGCUGGCACUGUGAUUUUUCAGAGUGAGGAGUUUGAACAGCCAGCACGAACAGUUGUUGUAUCUAGGUCAAAUAUGUCAAUUUCGGAAUGCAACACAUUACAGUCAUAAUAAAGGAAUUAGUUACAUCAUGUGCACCAUUUAAGAGUUUGAAUGUUUUUUUAAAGUUAAGGAAAUAUAUUAAGUGCAUGAUAAUUUGAUAAAAUUCAUUAUUCUGAAGAAGUCAAGAUACGCAUGUGCAAACAAAUUUUAUUGGAUUAAGGAGCGUUUGUUUGUUCACAAAGCGAAACAAGCACAUCAUAUUAGAAUUGGUAUUAAAUUAUUAAGUAGUCAAUAAAAGAUUCCUUAAGGUAGUAUGGGUGUCUUUCGCCAUCUUGGAUUGUAAAAAACAGAGAAUGUAAGGUCAAAA